GACGAACGCUGGCGGCGUGCCUAAUACAUGCAAGUAGAACGCACAGUUUAUACCGUAGCUUGCUACACCAUAGACUGUGAGUUGCGAACGGGCGAGUAACGCGUAGGUAACCUGCCUGGUAGCGGGGGAUAACUAUUGGAAACGAUAGCUAAUACCGCAUAAUAUUAAUUAUUGCAUGAUAAUUAAUUGAAAGGUGCAAUUGCACCACUACCAGAUGGACCUGCGUUGUAUUAGCUAGUAGGUGAGGUAACGGCUCACCUAGGCGACGAUACAUAGCCGACCUGAGAGGGUGAUCGGCCACACUGGGACUGAGACACGGCCCAGACUCCUACGGGAGGCAGCAGUAGGGAAUCUUCGGCAAUGGACGAAAGUCUGACCGAGCAACGCCGCGUGAGUGAAGAAGGUUUUCGGAUCGUAAAGCUCUGUUGUAAGAGAAGAACGGGUGUGAGAGUGGAAAGUUCACACUGUGACGGUAUCUUACCAGAAAGGGACGGCUAACUACGUG
rnacentral:rRNA from 1 species